UGGCUCAUUACUUUCUUGCACCUUGUUUUUUUUGCUCUCCCUAAAUUGAAAGGGUAAUCCAGAAGUGGACCCCCUUGCUCACGGUGCCUAAAUGGAUAUUGGCUAUACCUCACUGAUGAUGACUAAAAAGGUUAAAGCAAUCGUCAGGAGUUUAUGCAGAGAGAGCUGGGCUGCAUUUUGAGUCUUUUCCACCCUUUUGGGUUGGAUCAGUGUGAUAUGUAAAUAGCCUGGUUCUUUUUGUAAUGGCACAAGAUAAGCUAAAACCAGCUUGUGAUCUUAGCAGGGACCCACAGAAGGGCAAUUUAUUUGAGCUGUUGUCCAUUCUCAGUAAUCAUUAUACAAAAAUCAUUACAGCCCUAUUGCAGAGUGACAACAAAACAGGGAUUUUACGUCCUACUUUGUCAUCCAAGAUACAUCCAACUUA